GAAAUGCGAACACAUUUCCCCUGGCAAGAAUAACAGAAGCUAAAAGAAUGGAGUCCAUUCUUCUGAUAAGCUUUCCCACUGGCCCAGCUAUUUUGUGCUUGAGAAAUGGCUUCGCAAAGGUUACCAUAAACUAGGAGGUGUGCCUACCUUUCAGAUGGAAACCAGACUGGAGGAUGGACUAGACCAGGAGCCCAGGCGACUGGAGAGAUGCUCUCUUCUGCGUCUGCCUUGUAAGGCAAACGACAUUGGGUCGCCACGUGCCCCGGAAACUCCCAGGCCCUGAGACGCACAGACUCCAGGGUAAACUCGGGUGGCUCUGCGCAUGCUCGGAAAAGGGUCCAUGUGAGAAUUAGCAGCCCCACCUGGGCGUUUUGAUGCGGCACAUGGGACGCGUGCAUCGCUCCUGAGUGGGGCUCUGGGGAGGGAGAGGUGGCAAGAGGCUGGUCUGAGGGGUCAUGCAGAACUCUUUAGAGCCACAAUCCCAUAGUGCCUGCUAUGGGGACUUAUUUGUGGUUCCAGGAAGAAUCGCUAUUCUCUGAGAACAAGUUUCUCUAGAAAACAGGUAGUAGUCCUUAAUUAUUCCUCCAUGCUGAGAAGCCACAGGGAAAUGAUAUUCUUAUUGUGAGCAAAUAUGUACAACCUGAAACCCUGUCAUUUUGACCAUUUGAAAGUGUACACUUCAGCGCCAUUAAAUACAUUCACUUUGUCGUGAAACCAUCAAUACCACUUUAAAUACUUGAUCAGCCCAAGCAGAAAGUGUGUACUAAUGAAGCAACUAAAUUCCUGCCCCCUAGGGACUCUCAUUCUAUCUUUUAUCUCUGUGAAUUUGCCUAUUCUAGGUAUUGCCUAUAACGGAGCUUCCACCUACACUGCAGCUCCAGGCGACACUGGAUACUUAACCCACUGAGCAAGGCCAGGGAUUAAACCCACAUCCUCGCAGAGACAAUGUGAGGUCCUUAAUCCUCUCAGCCACAAUAGAAACUCAUUCAUUUCAUUUUCUUUUUUUUUUUUUCUUUUUUUUUGCUAUUUCUUGGGCCGCUCCCGCUGCACAUGGAGGUUCCCAGCUCGANAAAAAAAAAAAAAAAAAAAAAAAAAAAAAAGAAUUAAUUGAUCCUAUAAAGCUAUUGUAUAUAUUUUCAUAUUUUUGUAUUAAUUCGAUCACUCAAUUUCUCCCUUCAUCUAUAGCUAUUUUUACCUUAUGAUAAAUUGUGCAUAGAACUCUUGGGCCUAGAAAUUGGGCAUAGAAAUUAGCUGAUGGCUAGCUAGAUUCGGUUAUUCCCUGGGACAGUAAUUCUCCAUCAGUAUUAUAUCCCAAGGAGGUUUUAACUGUCUUCUAAUAUAUUUGAUUAUCAUUGUCGCUAUUAUCAUAAGAGUUAUUUAACCUAAGUUAGUUGACUCUCACUGACAAUGCCAAUGUUACACCACAUCACACAUGUUAUGAUCAUGGCAAAAUUCAAUUUCAUGACAACAAAUACUGAGGUGUUUGGUAUACUUUCCCAGCAGAACUGGCCCCUGUCCAUUGUUGUGGGCUCAAUUGUGUCACAUAAAAAGAUAUAUGGAACUUGUAACUCCUGGUACAUGUGAAUGGGACCAGAUUUGGAACUAGGGUCAUUAUGCAUAAAUUUAGGUAACAUGAGGUCACACUGGGGUAGAGUGGCCUCUAAUCCAACGUGACUGAUGUCCUUUUGAGAAGAGGAGAUGAAUACAGAUAGGGCCUGGUGUGGAGGAGAAGAGACAUACACAAAUAGGUCCUCUCACGAAGACAGAGGCAGAGACUAGAGUGAUACAGCCACAAGCCUGGAGCUUCCGGAAGGUGGAAGAAAUAGAUUCUUCCCUAGAGCCUUUAGAGAGAGGGCAUGGCCCUGCCACACUUUAAUUUCUAACUUCUCUCCUCCAGGACUAUGAGAGAACACAUUUCUGUCA
rnacentral:lncRNA from 1 species